ensembl:lncRNA
CAGGCUAAUGUUCCUAUCCACCCAGUAAGACCAGCAGGCUAAUGUUCCUAUCCACCCAAUAAGACCAGCAGGCUAAUGUUCCUAUCCACCCAAUAAGACCAGCAGGCUAAUGUUCCUAUCCACCCAAUAAGACAGAAAGUCAGUACAGUAAAGACAGCAGGCUAAUGUUCCUAUCCACCCAGUAAGACCAGCAGGCUCAUGUUCCUAUCCACCCAGUAAGACCAGCAGGCUAAUGUUCCUAUCCACCCAAUAAGACCAGCAGGCUAAUGUUCCUAUCCACCCAAUAAGACCAGCAGGCUAAUGUUCCUAUCCACCCAAUAAGACAGAAAGUCAGUACAGAAAAGACAGCAGGCUAAUGUUCCUAUCCACCCAGUAAGACCAGCAGGCUCAUGUUCCUAUCCACCCAGUAAGACCAGCAGGCUAAUGUUCCUAUCCACCCAAUAAGACCAGCAGGCUAAUGUUCCUAUCCACCCAAUAAGACCAGCAGGCUAAUGUUCCUAUCCACCCAAUAAGACCAGCAGGCUAAUGUUCCUAUCCACCCAAUAAGACAGAAAGUCAGUACAGUAAAGACAGCAGGCUAAUGUUCCUAUCCACCCAAUAAGACCAGCAGGCUCAUGUUCCUAUCCACCCAAUAAGACCAGCAGGCUCAUGUUCCUAUCCACCCAAUAAGACCAGCAGGCUCAUGUUCCUAUCCACCCAAUAAGGCCAGCAGGCUCAUGUUCCUAUCCACCCAAUAAGACAGAAAGUCAGUACAGUAAGACCAGCAGGCUAAUGUUCCUAUCCACCCAAUAAGACCAGCAGGCUCAUGUUCCUAUCCACCCAGUAAGACAUAAAGUCAGUACAGUAAGACCAGCAGGCUCAUGUUCCUAUCCACCCAGUAAGACAUAAAGUCAGUACAGUAAGACCAGCAGGCUAAUGUUCCUAUCCACCCAAUAAGACCAGCAGGCUAAUGUUCCUAUCCACCCAAUAAGACAUAAAGUCAGUACAGUAAGACCAGCAGGCUAAUGUUCCUAUCCACCCAAUAAGACCAGCAGGCUAAUGUUCCUAUCCACCCAAUAAGACCAGCAGGCUAAUGUUCCUAUCCACCCAGUAAGACAUAAAGUCAGUACAGUAAAGACAGCAGGCUAAUGUUCCUAUCCACCCAGUAAGACAUAAAGUCAGUACAGUAAAGACAGCAGGCUAAUGUUCCUAUCCACCCAAUAAGACCAGCAGGCUCGUGUUCCUAUCCACCCAGUAAGACAUAAAGUCAGUACAGUAAAGACAGCAGGAGAGUGGGAAAACAAGAGAAGGAGAGAAUGAACGUGAAAGAGGAGAGGAGAGAA